CGGACCGGCGCACGGGUGAGUAACACGUAUGAAACCUGCCCGUAGCAGGGGGAUAAGCGGAAGAAAUUCCGUCUAAUACCGCGUAACAACCCAUGGAGGCAUCUCUGUGGGUUUAAAGGAAGCGAUUCCGGCUACGGAUGGUCAUGCGUCGCAUUAGCUUGUUGGCGGGGUAACGGCCCACCAAGGCGACGAUGCGUAGGGGUUCUGAGAGGAAGGUCCCCCACACUGGUACUGAGACACGGACCAGACUCCUACGGGAGGCAGCAG
rnacentral:rRNA from 1 species